ensembl:antisense Gm15419 predicted gene 15419
GGACCAAAGGCAGUUUCUGAGAGAAGACUCCAAACGUUUCAGAUCUGAGAAAGGCUGAGCAAGGCUGCAGUGGGGCGUAACUCGGAGUCUCCUGGAGCCCACUCUACGGGUGACGCCGAGGACCUGGCUAUGCUGGGCUCAUGUUCUGCUGAGCAUGGCUACUUUCUUUCUGCUCCACUUCCUUCAGGACUUAUUGGUCAGGAGGAAUUCCAUCUGCACCGGGGAAUCCAGAGACGCCUCUCGCUCCCUGUGAAGAGUCAGAACAAUUAACAAAAACAGAAGGCCCAGUGCCCACCCACAGAAGGAGGACCCCAGCCAGGACCUCCAGUGCCCACCCACAGCAGAGGACCCCAGCCAGGACCUCCAGUGCCCACGCACAGCAGAGGACCCCAGCCAUAACCCCUGUGCCCACCCUCAGCAGAGGACCCCAGCCAGGACCUCCAGUGCCCACCCACAGCAGAGGACCCCAGCCAGGAUCUCCAGUGCUCACCCACAGCAGAGGACCCCAGCUAUGACCCCUGUGCCCACCCACAGCAGAGGACCCCAGCCAGGACCCCUUGUGCCCACCCACAGCAGAGGACCCCAGCCAGGAUCUCCAGUGCUCACCCACAGCAGAGGACCCCAGCUAUGACCCCUGUGCCCACCCACAGCAGAGGACCCCAGCCAGGACCCCUUGUGCCCACCCACAGCAGAGGACCCCAGCCAGGAUCUCCAGUGCUCACCCACAGCAGAGGACCCCAGCUAUGACCCCUGUGCCCACCCA